CACACACACACACACACACACACACACACACACACACUCUACCUGACCCAGGGAUAGUUCCAGUAUGAGGCAAUAUGCGGUUUUUUUGUUUUGUUUUAUUUUGUUUUUUUCCACACUCAGAAAGUAGGUACCAAUGCUUUGCUAUGAAGAGAAGUCAGGGGAACUGGUUGGAAAGGUCGAA
ensembl:misc_RNA predicted gene, 27599